rnacentral:rRNA from 1 species
CUACGUGCCAGCAGCCGCGGUAAUACGGAAGGUCCUGGCGUUAUCCGGAUUUAUUGGGUUUAAAGGGAGCGCAGGCUGCACUUUAAGCGUGUUGUGAAAUGUACCGGCUCAACCGGUAACGUGCAGCGCGAACUGGGGUGCUUGAGUACGAAGAGGGAAAGCGGAACUCGUGGUGUAGCGGUGAAAUGCUUAGAUAUCACGAGGAACUCCGAUCGCGAAGGCAGCUUUCCGUUUCGGGACUGACGCUGAGGCUCGAAAGUGCGGGUAUCGAACAGGAUUAGAUACCCUGGUAGUCCGCACGGUAAACGAUGGAUGCUCGCUGUUGGAUAUUUUUAUUCAGUGGCUAAGUGAAAGCAUUAAGCAUCCCACCUGGGGAGUACGCCGGCAACGGUGAAACUCAAAGGAAUUGACGGGGGCCCGCACAAGCGGAGGAACAUGUGGUUUAAUUCGAUGAUACGCGAGGAACCUUACCCGGGCUUGAAUUGCAGAGGAAGGAUUUAGAGAUA